AUGUCUUCUUCAAGCUCCCGCGCCACGUCGCAGAUGCAGAACCCGGCGCGCGUGGAGAUGCCUAUCUUCGUCUGUGCGCGGUGCCGGGCGGCUAUUGAUCUGAGGGUUUCUCACACACCGAGGAACCAGAAUCGUCCGUUCUACGUGUGCAGCGAGAAUGGGGUGAAAUGUUUCUUCCUUUGGGCCGAUGCUCUGGCCAAGACUCUGAUGAAUGAACUGCAAGAAGAGCAUGAUGAAUGGUUGUGCAUGCUGCCACGAACGGCAGUGGCCGCAACACGAGCUCCUGGAGAAGAGAUGGAGGGCGAAGCACGCACUGACAGAGAGCUAGCUGUUGCUGUUGAGCUUAGGAUGUUGAAGAAGAAGGUUAGGAAGCUUGAAGAUCAAGCACAAAUACCCUUUUGCAAUUACUUUUGGGCAUUUGUAGCUAUGGUAAUCGCGUAGGGUGUAAUGCUGAAAUUGUAUGGAAAGGCAUGA
rnacentral:rRNA from 1 species